CGCCAGACUCCUACGGGAGGCAGCAGUGGGGAAUAUUGCACAAUGGGGGAAACCCUGAUGCAGCGACGCCGCGUGAAGGAUGAAGUCUUUCGGUAUGUAAACUUCUCUCAGCAGGGAAGAAAAUGACGGUACCUGAGUAAGAAGCCCCGGCUAACUACGUGCCAGCAGCCGCGGUAAUACGUAGGGGGCAAGCGUUAUCCGGAUUUACUGGGUGUAAAGGGAGCGUAGACGGCGAUGCAAGUCUGAAGUGAAAGCCCGGGGCUCAACCCCGGGACUGCUUUGGAAACUGUAUGGCUGGAGUGCUGGAGAGGCAAGCGGAAUUCCUAGUGUAGCGGUGAAAUGCGUAGAUAUUAGGAAGAACACCAGUGGCGAAGGCGGCUUGCUGGACAGUAACUGACGUUGAGGCUCGAAGGCGUGGGGAGCAAACAGGAUUAGAUACCCCAGUA
rnacentral:rRNA from 1 species